AAUACAUCGGAAUCUACUCUGUCGUGGGGGAGUAACGUAGGGAAACUUACGCUAAUACCGCAUACGACCUACGGGUGAAAGCAGGGAUCUUCGGACCUUGCGCGAUUGAAUGAGCCGAUGUCGGAUUAGCUAGUUGGCGGGGUAAAGGCCCACCAAGGCGACGAUCCGUAGCUGGUCUGAGAGGAUGAUCAGCCACACUGGAACUGAGACACGGUCCAGACUCCUACGGGAGGCAGCAGUC
rnacentral:rRNA from 1 species